GGGGGUAUAGCUCAGUGGUAGAGUGCAUGCCUAGCAUGCAUGAGGUCCUGGGUUCAAUCCCCAGUCCCUCCA
rnacentral:tRNA from 1 species